rnacentral:rRNA from 1 species
AGGACGAACGCUGGCGGCAUGCCUAACACAUGCAAGUCUAGGGGUAGCAAUACCACUGGCGCACGGGUGAGUAACACGUAGGUUAUCUGCCCCCAUCACAGACAUAACCCCGGGAAACCGGGGCUAAUAUCUGAUGAGGUCGCGAGAUCAAAGCUUCGGCGGAUGGGGAUGAGCCUGCGGCUGAUUAGCUAGUUGGUGAGGUAAUGGCUCACCAAGGCGACGAUCAGUAGCUGGUCUGAGAGGACGAACAGCCACACUGGAACUGAGACACGGUCCAGACUCCUACGGGAGGCAGCAGUGAGGAAUAUUGGUCAAUGGGAGCAAUCCUGAACCAGCAAUGCCGCGUGUGGGAUGACAGGGCUUCGCCUUGUAAACCACUGUCGGACGGGACGAAAGGAGGCCUCGGGCCUCUGGGACGGUACCGUCAAAGGAAGGGUCGGCUAACUACGUG